GGGCCAAUCGUAUAGUGGCUUAUUAUGCUGUCUUAGGGUUUCACUGCUCCGAGGUUGCAACCACAAUACUAAGUUGACAGAGGUCCCCGGUUCGAUUCCGGGUUGGCCCC
rnacentral:tRNA from 1 species